rnacentral:rRNA from 1 species
CAGCAGCCGCGGUAAUACGGAGGAUCCGAGCGUUAUCCGGACCUAUNGGGUNUAAAGGGAGCGUGGGUGGANNGUUAAGNCAGUNGUGAAAGNNUGCGGCNCAACCGUAAAAUCGCAGUNGAAACUGGGAGNCUNGAGUACAGUAGAGGUGGGCGGAAUUCGUGGUGUAGCGGUGAAAUGCUUAGAUAUCACGAAGAACUCCGAUUGCGAAGGCAGCUCACUAGACUGUCACUGACACCGAUGCUCGAAAGUGUGGGUAUCAAACAGGAUUAGAUACCCUGGUAGUCCACACAGUAAACGAUGAAUACUCGCUGUUUGCGAUAUACAGUAAGCGGCCAAGCGAAAGCAUUAAGUAUUCCACCUGGGGAGU